rnacentral:rRNA from 1 species
GAUGAACGCUGGCGGCGUGCCUAAUACAUGCAAGUCGAGCGAACAGAUAAGGAGCUUGCUCCUUUGACGUUAGCGGCGGACGGGUGAGUAACACGUGGAUAACCUACCUAUAAGACUGGGAUAACUUCGGGAAACCGGAGCUAAUACCGGAUAACAUAUUGAACCGCAUGGUUCAAUAGUGAAAGGCGGCUUUGCUGUCACUUAUAGAUGGAUCCGCGCCGUAUUAGCUAGUUGGUAAGGUAACGGCUUACCAAGGCAACGAUACGUAGCCGACCUGAGAGGGUGAUCGGCCACACUGGAACUGAGACACGGUCCAGACUCCUACGGGAGGCAGCAGUAGGGAAUCUUCCGCAAUGGGCGAAAGCCUGACGGAGCAACGCCACGUGAGUGAUGAAGGUCUUCGGAUCGUAAAACUCUGUUAUCAGGGAAGAACAAAUGUGUAAGUAACUGUGCACAUCUUGACGGUACCUGAUCAGAAAGCCACGGCUAACUACGUG